ACUUUUUAAAUUUCUUUUAUUUUUGGUAAACUUUAUUAUUCUUACUUGUAAGAGUUCAGUUUUUUUAGGUAUUUAAUUUAAUUUAAAUUUUAGACUAAUAACUUUUUCUUUUUAAAGAUUUAUUUAACUGUUUCUUUGAAUAAUAGUGAACAGGUUUGUUUUUUUUAAAACAUUUGUUCAGUUAGUUUCUUUUUUAGCAGACAGGUGGCAGCAUCAAUCAUGACUUAACUUCAGUUUAUUCAGUUGAAGUUGUUUUUUUUUCCUCUGCUGAUUUGAUAUGUUUUUGUAAUUAAAUUUUUAAAUCAACAUAUGCAAGGUAUUUAAAUCGGUUUUUAAAUCAACAUAUGCAUUUCACAACAUAUGCAAGGUAUUUUUAUUUUGUAAUUAUCUUUCAAUUUUUGUUAAAAUAAUUUUAUUUUUGAAAAAUUAUUUCUGUUUGUGAGUUUCGAGGUGUUGGCAAUGGUGGCGUUUUUGGAAAGUAUAUAAAAGGAAGUGUGCGCGGUGUGCAAAAGAAGGCUUGCUCUCUCUCGCUCUCCUACCUGAUAGACGUCGUGCUCCACGAGUUUUUGGCUGAAGAAAGAAAGCCAUGUGGAAUUGGAAAGAAACACGUGCCGAGCGGCACAGAAGCUUACAUGAUUAGUAUGAAAGGAAGAUAAAAUGGUGAUCAAGAUCUGGUUCAUCUCCAUGAUCCAUGAGGAAGUGCCAGCAAGUCCGUGCCAGGGGGCACGUGAUGCAAAAUCUUCUCUUCGAGCAGGAGAGUCUUUAAAAAACCAGUAAACAGAUGAUGCAGCAUGCUCUACUUCCGGAAAAGCAGCAGAGCAACCACCCCAAAAGACAUUAUGCACUGUGUGCAGUCCACAUGAACCUACAUUCAAGAGACUCACAUUGUGUUCAUUCUUCAUUUUUUCCAUCAUUAUGUCUAGCACUUUUAGGUUGACAUUCGGACCAUCCAUAGAUAAUUGUAGUAAACUUUUACACAAGCAUUUCUCAUUUAUUUUUUCAAAUAAAUGUUCAGAUGUGGCAUGGCCUAGAAAGUCUGAAGAAUAGUA